CAGGCUGUGGGGGUGCAGGGGGUACAGUCGGGUGAGGGUACAAAGGAGGGGUUGUAGCAGGCUGUGGGGUGCAGGGGGUACAGUCAGGUGAGGGUAUAAAGGAG